AUACAAGUGAGAAUGCCGGUAUGAGUAACGAAAAGAUCAGUGAGAAUCUGAUCCGCCGAAAGCCCAAGGUUUCCUGAGGAAGGCUCGUCCGCUCAGGGUAAGUCGGGACCUAAGGCGAGGCCGAAAGGCGUAGUCGAAGGACAACAGGUUGAAAUUCCUGUACCACCGUAAACCGCUACGAGCGAUGGGGUGACGCAGGAGGGUAGUGACGCGAGCUGAUGGAUGCUCGUCCAAGCAGUGAGGCUGAUGUGUAGGCAAAUCCGCACAUCG
rnacentral:rRNA from 1 species